rnacentral:lncRNA from 1 species
UGUCAUGAUUCGUGAAAACCCCAUUCAAUAUGAUGCUUUCGCUUCGGGUCCUACACCUCCUCUUCCUCCUUCACCCCAUCCUCCUCUUGCUCGACCUCCGAGAGUUAGGAAACCUCCUUCGCGUCUUGGUGGCUAUCACUAUUUUUGUACCAAAGCUGCUACCAAUCUUCUUGCGCCUCCACAUCCAGGUAAAUCCAUGCUUCCUUUGUCAAAUUUAUCAUCCUCUCAUUCACAUUUUACUUUAUCUCUUCUCACUUCUCAAGAGCCUAA